UGAAGCCAGCUUGCUGGCUGGAUUAGUGGCGAACGGGUGAGUACACGUGAGUAACCUGCCCUUGACUCUGGGAUAAGCCUGGGAAACUGGGUCUAAUACCGGAUAUGACCUUCCAUCGCAUGGUGGUUGGUGGAAAGCUUUUGUGGUUUUGGAUGGACUCGCGGCCUAUCAGCUUGUUGGUGGGGUAAUGGCCUACCAAGGCGACGACGGGUAGCCGGCCUGAGAGGGUGACCGGCCACACUGGGACUGAGACACGGCCCAGACUCCUACGGGAGGCAGCAGUGGGGAAUAUUGCACAAUGGGCGCAAGCCUGAUGCAGCGACGCCGCGUGAGGGAUGACGGCCUUCGGGUUGUAAACCUCUUUCAGUAGGGAAGAAGCCAAAGUGACAGUACCUGCAGAAAAAACGC
rnacentral:rRNA from 1 species